GAAACAUUCAGUUUUCGGGUUAGUUUGGCGCUGGUUACAAUUGCGAAGGUAUCCGCCGCAGCUAGAAGGUCGCAGAGGGCGGUCGCAACGCUACUCUGCCGCAACCAUGGCGCUCCAGAUCGAAGUGUCGUACUGCAAUUCCUGAGGUUAUAUUCGUCAGUUUACCACCCUCAAGAAGAAACUUGAAGAGGUGUUUCCUGGUGAACUAGAAAUCGUCGGGAUACCGGUUGGUGGAUCUACUGGCUGCUUUGAGGUUGUAAUAAAGGGUUCAACCAAACCUCUUCAUUCUAAACUGGGUGGAGAUAACAAAGUUGAUGAAGUGAAGUUUCAGAAGAUUGUUCAAGGAAUCAAAGCAGCCCUUGGACAGUAACAAUGUGGAAGCUGUAAUUCUCAGUUAAACAUUCAUUUAAUUUGUUCACUGUGGCUGAACACUCAAUGACGGAGAUGGCUGAAAUGUCUUCAGAGGCACGGCUGUUACCAGAUGUCCAUGUGAAAGGCUCCAGUAACCAGGUUUUAUGGAGUUUGACUUGAAUGAAUUUUCAGCAAGCAAGUGCUUUUGUUUUCUUUCCUCCUUCCCCACUCACCUCCAGGAGUAAUUCCUUCCUGCAGAGCUGCAUUGUAAGAAUACACAACCCUAUCCAAUUCCUUUCUGUAGCCUUGUGGAACAAAUUUUACAUAAUUAUGGCUCCCUUCUCCACUAUGCAAGGAGAUAUAAAUGUAAUAGCUCUACUAUUCUGUUUAUCAGCUGUUCACCUUAAACCAAUAUGACAUUGCACUCCCAUCUGAGCAAUUAUUUCUGUCUGAAGUCAUUUUGUACUCCUUCCAAAUUAGGACUCUACUUGUAUUCCUGAAUUGUUACAAAACGAUUCUUCUGAACAAAUUUAUUAACUUCAGUUUGGUGUGCAUGGCAUAAAUAGAUGGAAAAACAGAAAUUGACAAUAAUGACAUGUGUUUUGAUCCAAGAUAAGUGAUGAUAAAACAGUAACACUAUUUACUAAAACAACCCCUGGUUGAUGAGUCUUGCAACAGAUGCACAUUGUACACUAUCCUUGCUUGGACAACUAUUACUCCAAAUGAAAACUGCUGUGGAUAUUGGGAAAAUCUGAAAAUUAAAAACACCAACUAUUAAGCAGGUCUGACACCAGAACGAAAAUGAAUGCUUCAGAUUGCUGAUUUACUACUUUGGAAUGUUAAUGAUGUUGCCUUACUUCCUGAGAAGUUCUGCCUUUUUUUAAAAUUCAUUUAUCCUGGGUGCUCUUAAAUGUAUCAAUUUAAAUCCUAUUUAGAACUGCAAUAAAAUCAUUGAUAAACUGC